AUACGGAGGGGGCUAGCGUUGUUCGGAAUUACUGGGCGUAAAGCGCGUGUAGGCGGAUCGUUAAGUCAGGGGUGAAAGCCCGGGGCUCAACCCCGGAACUGCCCUUGAUACUGGCGAUCUAGAGUCCGGAAGAGGUGGGCGGAAUUCCCGGUGUAGAGGUGAAAUUCGUAGAUAUCGGGAGGAACACCAGUGGCGAAGGCGGCUCACUGGUCCGGUACUGACGCUGAGACGCGAAAGCGUGGGGAGCAAACAGGAUUAGAAACCCUAGUAGUCC
rnacentral:rRNA from 1 species